rnacentral:rRNA from 1 species
GGAGUUUGAUCCUGGCUCAGGACGAACGCUGGCGGCACGCUUAACACAUGCAAGUCGAACGAGAGAAGAGGAGCUUGCUUUUCUGAUCUAGUGGCGGACGGGUGAGUAACACGUGAGCAAUCUGCCUUUCAGAGGGGGAUACCGAUUGGAAACGAUCGUUAAUACCGCAUAACAUAAUUGAACCGCAUGAUUUGAUUAUCAAAGAUUUAUCGCUGAAAGAUGAGCUCGCGUCUGAUUAGCUAGUUGGUAAGGUAACGGCUUACCAAGGCGACGAUCAGUAGCCGGACUGAGAGGUUGAUCGGCCACAUUGGGACUGAGACACGGCCCAGACUCCUACGGGAGGCAGCAGUGGGGAAUAUUGCACAAUGGAGGAAACUCUGAUGCAGCGAUGCCGCGUGAGGGAAGAAGGUUUUAGGAUUGUAAACCUCUGUCUUCAGGGACGAAAAAAGACGGUACCUGAGGAGGAAGCUCCGGCUAACUACGUGCCAGCAGCCGCGGUAAUACGUAGGGAGCGAGCGUUGUCCGGAAUUACUGGGUGUAAAGGGAGCGUAGGCGGGAUCGCAAGUCAGAUGUGAAAACUAUGGGCUUAACCCAUAAACUGCAUUUGAAACUGUGGUUCUUGAGUGAAGUAGAGGUAAGCGGAAUUCCUAGUGUAGCGGUGAAAUGCGUAGAUAUUAGGAGGAACAUCAGUGGCGAAGGCGGCUUACUGGGCUUUAACUGACGCUGAGGCUCGAAAGCGUGGGGAGCAAACAGGAUUAGAUACCCUGGUAGUCCACGCCGUAAACGAUGAUUACUAGGUGUGGGGGGACUGACCCCUUCCGUGCCGCAGCAAACGCAAUAAGUAAUCCACCUGGGGAGUACGACCGCAAGGUUGAAACUCAAGGGAAUUGACGGGGGCCCGCACAAGCAGUGGAGUAUGUGGAUUAAUUCGAAGCAACGCGAAGAACCUUACCAGGUCUUGACAUCGUAUGCAUAGCUCAGAGAUGAGUGAAAUCUCUUCGGAGACAUAUAGACAGGUGGUGCAUGGUUGUCGUCAGCUCGUGUCGUGGGAUGUUGGGUUAAGUCCCGCAACGAGCGCAACCCUUACUGUUAGUUGCUACGCAAGAGCACUCUAGCAGGACUGCCGUUGACAAAACGGAGGAAGGUGGGGAUGACGUCAAAUCAUCAUGCCCCUUAUGACCUGGGCCUCACACGUACUACAAUGGCUGUCAACAGAGGGAAGCAAAGCCGCGAGGUGGAGCGAACCCCUAAAAGCAGUCUUAGUUCGGAUUGUAGGCUGCAACCCGCCUACAUGAAGUCGGAAUUGCUAGUAAUCGCAGAUCAGCAUGCUGCGGUGAAUACGUUCCCGGGCCUUGUACACGCCGCCCGUCACGCCAUGGGAGUCGGUAACACCCGAAGCCUGUAGUCUAACCGCAAGGAGGACGCAGUCGAAGGUGGGAUUGAUGACUGGGGUGAAGUCGUAACAAGGUA